GUCUACGGAUGCUUAUGCAGUUGCCAAAUAUGGUAACAAGUGGGUACGCACUCGUACCAUAUCUGAUAGUUUAGAACCUAGGUGGAAUGAGCAGUACACUUGGAGAGUUUAUGAUCCAUCCACUGUGUUGACUAUCGGAGUAUUUGAUGGCUGCUCGGAAGUAGCAUUUGAAUCAGAUGAGUGCAUGAGGCCAGAUUUUCGGAUUGGUAAGGUGCGUGUCCGUAUUUCUACAUUGACAACAGGUAAAGUGUACAGGAAUACUUUCCCAUUACUUUUGUUAUCACAAACUGGUUUGAAGAAAAUGGGGGAAAUUGAAUUAGCAGUGAGAUUUAUACGUGCUACACCAACGCUUGAUUUCUUACAUGUCUAUUCGCAACCAUUGCUGCCCAUGAUGCAUCAUGUAAAGCCCCUUGGCAUGGUUCAACAGGAUAGUUU
rnacentral:misc_RNA from 1 species